rnacentral:lncRNA from 1 species
AGCACCCUCCCCGGACCUCUCGGACUGAGUGCUCCCUCCUCCGGCCGGACCGCCCGCCUCCCGGCCGCCGGCGACCAACCCUAGCUCUCCUCGGGUCUGGUAAGGGUAUUUUAUGUUCCAGCACUGUUUUUCGAGGUUCCGGUCACCUUUUCGGUGAUCCGAUAAGCCUCCUAAACUUCGGGAAGUGAGCACGAUGAUCUACAACUCGUGCUGAACAUCGUGCUCACCUCCGACAGCGGCAAAGAUGCCCUGGUUAGUGAGUUAGUUGCGAACUUCGCGCUGUGCGCGCAGUUUAACAGUACUUCGCGUCGCUCGUGCGCGCACCGCAGUGGCCGGCAGUGCUCCGAAAGGUGAGCACGGCCUCCGACAUACUGAAACCUGUCAGCGAGUGCGACGGUCGGAUUAAUCGACCUCUGGUUUGCGUGCACGGUCCAGAAAAGCCUAGAAAUCACAUGAAAUGAUGCGAUUUCAUGUAUCGGUAUGGGCUUUUAGGAUUUCUGCUUCGUUGUAGAUGCUGUUGGCAGCAUGUUUGGGCU